CGCAACAACAAAUUGAAAAGCGCAAAAACAAAAGAAGAAUCACAAAAACAAAUUGAGAAGCACAAUUACAUUAAGAAAACCGGAAAGGGUAGGUACCAGUCGGCAACAGGAGACAUCACUGAUUGGAUGUCCGCGCUGUUCGUCUUUGGAACCGGAAGUUACUCUGCCUGUAGCGCAUUUCGUUUGAAAAACGGCGGAAUGUUUUGUCCUAGCUAUGGGAAAAAGCUGGUUGAGGAGUCACCAAACUUUUGCAGCGGCUGUGGCGAGAGGCUUUAUCACGCAUCUUGCAUCGGAGACACUUCACUCCCAUUGACAUCACAGACUACCUCAAACUGCCCAACUCCAACCUUCAGCACCUUCUUAGAAUACA